UCAGAAAUCCUCUGGCCAGCUCAGUUAGCAGCUGAUUAUAAGUGCUCUAUCUCUCUGUAUCUUUUGUAACAGUCUCCAUUUUUCUGUUGCAGACCUGGCAACAGCUCAACUUUAUACUUCUGCUUCUUCUGAUGAGGAGCCUGACUGCCAAGAUUUCCCUGAUAUCCCAGUCUGCCCCAUGUUUACAAAGCGAGUCUGUGGAACUGAUGGCAUGACCUACAUAAACCGUUGUAAUUUAUGCCUUUAUAAUUGGUUGAAUAAUGCAGAUGUUAAGAUCAGGCACAAUGGAUUUUGUACAAAGACACAACCAAAAGAGGAAGAAUACUGACUGAGUUGGCA